GCUCCAAUAGCGUAUAUUAAAGUUGUUGCGGUUAAAAAGCUCGUAGUUGGAUUUCUGCCGAGGACGACCGGUCCGCCACUGGGUGUGCAUCUGGCUCGGCCUGGGCAUCUUCCUUGGUUCUAUUGUUGGUUUCUAGAACUGAGGUAAUGAUUAAUAGGGAUAGUUGGGGGCAUUCGUAUUUAACUGUCAGAGGUGAAAUU
rnacentral:rRNA from 1 species